rnacentral:rRNA from 1 species
UACGAAGGGGGCUAGCGUUGUUCGGAAUUACUGGGCGUAAAGCGCGCGUAGGCGGCUUUGUAAGUUAGAGGUGAAAGCCCGGAGCUCAACUCCGGAACUGCCUUUAAGACUGCAUCGCUAGAAUUGUGGAGAGGUAAGUGGAAUUCCGAGUGUAGAGGUGAAAUUCGUAGAUAUUCGGAAGAACACCAGUGGCGAAGGCGGCUCACUGGACCGGCAUUGACGCUGAUGUGCGAAAGCGUGGGGAGCAAACAGG